GCUAGGCACUGAUAACGUGAUGAUUUUAAGGGCGGGAAUUCUGA
rnacentral:snoRNA from 2 species